GUUUAACCCGCCAUUUAGGUGGUUUGCCCUGCCUUAACCCUCUUAUUAAAGUAUAAAACUCCCCUUAUUUCCAGCGCCGUGCGGGUCUGCUGGGGCUGGCUCCGCCCCCUUUGUGACAUCAUCAAAAUGGCACAUUUUAAGACAAUCCAAUGCUUAUAGGGAAUGCAUUGGAUUGGCUAAAAUCAGCACGGGGACGGGGCCAAAUGACGUUUUGGCCAAUCAGGACCUCUUCAUAGAGAUGCACUGAAUUAAUGCAUCUCUAUGAGGAAAAUUCAGCGUCUCCAUGCAGAGCGUGGGGGCGCUGAAUGGCAGGGCUACUUACUGUGUCCCUUCUCUGAAAAGGCAGUGUUUGCAUAAAAUGCCUGAAGGGAGCUAUUAUACUCACCAGAACUACUACAAUAAUCUGUAGAUGUUCUGGUAACUAUAGUGUCCCUUUAAUGCUGUUAUACCUGUCUAGACAGUGGAUAAGAAAGGCUAAAAGUUUAGUACUGGAAACUGGAGUCACUUUUAUUUUUUCUCCUUAGUUUCUCCUGUGAACAGGGCCGGACUGGGGAUUCCAAAGCAGCCCUGGAAAAAAAAAUCUAUGCCAGCCCCAUAAGUCAUUGCGCCAUAUAUUGUCGCAUGUAAUAUGUAAGGCUAUGUCUUGCCACCCUAG